rnacentral:rRNA from 1 species
GCGCAGCAGGCGCGAAAACUUCACACUGUGCGAAAGCACGAUGAGGGAAUCCCAAGUGCUUGCACGUAAGUGUAAGCUGUUUCUCUGUCUAAAACGCAGAGAGAGUAAGGGCUGGGUAAGACGGGUGCCAGCCGCCGCGGUAAUACCUGCAGCUCAAGUGGUGACCGUUAUUAUUGGGCCUAAAACGUCCGUAGCCGGUUUAAUAAAUGCCUGGGUAAAUUGUGUAGCUUAACUAUACGAAUUCCGGGUAGACUGUUAAACUUGAGACCGGGAGAAGUUAGAGGUACUCCUGGGGUAGAGGUGAAAUUCUGUAAUCCUAGGGGGACACCAGUGGCGAAGGCGUCUAACUAGAACGGGUACGUGACGGU